rnacentral:rRNA from 1 species
GACGAACGCUGGCGGCGUGCCUAAUACAUGCAAGUAGAACGCUGAAGGAGGAGCUUGCUUAUCUGGAUGAGUUGCGAACGGGUGAGUAACGCGUAGGUAACCUGCCUGGUAGCGGGGGAUAACUAUUGGAAACGAUAGCUAAUACCGCAUAAUAGUAGAUGUUGCAUGACAUUUGCUUAAAAGGUGCAAUUGCAUCACUACCAGAUGGACCUGCGUUGUAUUAGCUAGUUGGUGGGGUAACGGCUCACCAAGGCGACGAUACAUAGCCGACCUGAGAGGGUGAUCGGCCACACUGGGACUGAGACACGGCCCAGACUCCUACGGGAGGCAGCAGUAGGGAAUCUUCGGCAAUGGACGGAAGUCUGACCGAGCAACGCCGCGUGAGUGAAGAAGGUUUUCGGAUCGUAAAGCUCUGUUGUAAGAGAAGAACGAGUGUGAGAGUGGAAAGUUCACACUGUGACGGUAUCUUACCAGAAAGGGACGGCUAACUACGUG